CUCUAGGAGAAAUGUUAGGUGAACUGCUCCCUCGUGAAGGGAAGUAAUCCUUUUUGAAAUAGCUGUGUGUGAGUGUGGAUGUGUUUGACAGGCUGAACAACACCGAGUGCUGACGUUCCUCCUGAUCGUUGAUGACACAAACAGGCAGUGAGUUAGUCAGACAUUAGCAGAGGGUGGGAGUGAGUAGAUCUGACGAUCAGCCUGAGAAUGCAGUGAUUAAUGCCAUCGUGGCGAGAGGGUAGAUUUACUGGUCAUUUUAUGUGUGUUUUGUGUAAAAUAGUCAACUAUAUUAACUAAUCAUGUUGGACUGAGAGUCAGUACCCUAGCUGAAUGUGCUGAUAUAUUCUGUAGAAUAUAUAUAUUAAAAAAACAAAAACAUUUUUCAAAUACACUACUGUAAAUAUAAAUAUACAUAUGGCAUAUGUUAAUAAAUUGCAUAGUAUUACAUCUGAUAUAUGGCUAUAUAUUUCUGUUAAAUUUUUUUUAUUCUGUUAGUUUUUAAAUUAUAUUUUUUAUUAGGUUGUUUUGCAAUUUCUUUUAGUCCUACAAAUAUUAUUUAUUAAUAUAUUGCUGUUCAAAUCCCACAAGUAUAAUUAUCAUUAUUAUUAUUAUUAGUAGUAGUACUAAUUAAAACUUUUUAAUGUGAAAUAUUUUAAUUGGAUUAUUUAUUUAUUUAUUUAUUUAUUUAUUUUAGAUUUUUUUAUACACAAAAAAUAGCACAAUUUAAAAAGUGUGAUUAUUUGUAUUGUGAAAUUGUAAAAUGGCGGACACUUCCGGUAUUGCUGAACAGGCUUAGUUAAUAUUUUUCACGCCCGUAUUCCGACAACUUCCGCCUUCUUGCGCAGCAUGGUCUUACAGUCAAUUGGAAAGUUUCGCUGUCAUUAGGAAGUAUUAGCCAAUCAGCGCGCAGGAGGCGGGAUUUGUCGUAAUGCAGGCGGGGGAUAAAGACCGUUCCUGGUUUGUUUGUGUUGUUAAUAAGAGUGGCGGCCAGUUUGAACUCUGAGAAUGAGCAGCGAGUUUUCCGGCAGUGAUUUAGACAUAAAGGUUGAAAUAUUGAAGAGGAAGUAUUUAGAGAGGAGAAAUCGGGUUUCUGUGACUGAAGGAGCCGAAGUGAGUGAGAAAUGUGGAGGAGCUGUGGAAAAACCAAAGUGCUGUGCGGUCAGGGGCAGGGAGGAAGUGACAUCACGCAGAGAGCUGAAGAGCUACAGCCGAGCGCUGGAGGAGCUUUUCCAGGCCGUGUCAGAUCCACCUGCAGGGCUCGAGCGUGAUGAGAGCGUUCUGAGCAGCGAAGAUGAGCUCAGUGACCAGACGGACGUCCUGGACCGUACCAACAUCCUGUGUACAGAGACGGACGUGACGCUGCCCUCCAGCGUAGCCUGCACUUCCAGCUCGCUUGAGACAGAGCCGGCGAGGUUCAGCGGAGGAGAGGGGCUGAGGAGCCAGGUGCCUGUUGAACAAGUGUACCAGGAGAUGAUUGAGAUUUAUGAAAGACUGCAGGUACGGGCGGCUGAGCUGUGUGAGCGUGAAUGCGAGCUCCAGCGGAGAGAGAAGCUUCUCCUAAAGCACCAGAGCACCGUAAACAGACUUCUCACUGUGGAGGAAGACGUACUAGAUCGCAUGAAUGCCAUGCAACAGGAACACCAGCAGGAGAUGGAGAAUCUCAGGGCUGCACUGAGAGAAAAGACCAAAGAGAACAAAAGGAUUAAAUCUAGUUUUGAUUCCAUCAAGGAGUUAAAUGACACCAUGAAGAAACAGCUGAGUGAAGUAAGCGAGCAGAACACCAGGCUGGAGAGCCAGUCACGGAAAGUUCAAGCUCGACUAGAAAACCUGCAGAGAAAGCACGAGCACUCGGUGUCGCAACGAGUGCGCGAAAACGUUGUGCUGAAGUCACGUGAUCUCAAACCAUCCAAUCAGGACAAACCUCCACCUCCCAACAAAGCUAGCAAGAGCUCGUCCAGUUCUUCAGCACUGAAGCUGCUCUGGUAUUUGAUGGACUGGAUGGUGGACGGUCCGCCUUUUUCCUCCGAAGACGUGAAAACGGAGCGCGAGUUUGACCCGUUUGAGGUUCCACGUCCCUCUCUACCUGAACGCUGCGCCAAGGUCCUUCCUGUUUUGCUGGAGCAGUUCCAGCAGGCCGAGGCGUUUCUUCACUCACCGCUCCUGCGCUUCAUCUACUGCGCCCUCACACAGCUGGAGCACAGCACACAGCACCUCCCUUUGACCUCAACGUUGAGGAGAUUAGGAGAGGAAGUGAACCGAAAAUCUCCUCCACUGUUCAGGAGCUCCUGCCCUCACACUCGCUUCUUAUCCUCCAUCAUUGUCCUCAAAACACUCAGCCAGGCAGACAUCUUGGCGCAGGCCCUCGACGUUUUGAACGGCAUCGUUGGAGAGGAUGAGGGGCGUGGCCUCUUCCUGAAGUACAAGGCCCUGACGGCCAUUUUAGCUGUGCUGAGGACAGGAAGUCCGGGACUGCUGGCUCCUUCACUGGACGUCCUGCUUCACAUGAGCACAGAGUCACGUCAUCUUCCUGCCUUCCUGGAAGCGUGUAGCACCGAUCAGUUCUUCCGUUGUGCUGCCGUACUUCUCCGAAACCCGCGGCUGGACCUCACCGUCGCAGAGAAGCUCAGCGUUCUCCUCCAGAAACUCUCCUGCAUCAGAAAGAACCGGCGUCUGUUCGAAGCGUCCUCACUGCACCUGCUGCUCCAGGAAGCGCAGUGCUCGGCAGAUCCGUCUCGAGCCUUCCUCAACAUCAACUUCAGCUCCAUCCUGUUUAAUUUGGGCGUGGCCUCCCGUUCCUGACACGCCCACAACCUAUACAGGAGAGACAAAUAAAUCAUAAACACAAUCAUAAACGUCGUGGCGUUUCUCAGCAUCGAGUCACGGAAGUGGACUGUGCCGGAGGACCUGACUUUACAAUGUGAAAGGAAGUUCUCGUUACGCUUUUUCGAAACAACUGGCCAGAUAAAUAAACAGAAGAGGAUUUGAUGAUUCGAUUUUGCUGAUGUGAACAUCAUGUGAGGGUUCCAAGACGAGCAGUUAGUGGUGGGGGGACGGGGUGGUUAACUGGCGUACACUCACACUCUGUCUCUCUCUCUCUCUCUCUCUCUCUCUCUCUCUCUCUCACACUCACUCUCACUCUCUCUCACACACACACACACACACACACACACACACACACACACACACACACUGAACUCAUAGCUGAAGCAUCCAGCUCAUAAGCCGAUCUGUCUGUUCUUGAGGGUAAAAUUAUUCCAAUUGGCUUUUCACGACGGUUGAUUUGUGUGUGUGCAGAUUUAUUUAUAAUAAUACUUUUGUUAUUGUUAUCAAUGUUUUAAUAAAUCAGUAAUACUUUGGAAACAGAUUAAAGGUUAUAUUUCAAAGUCUGUUUCAUUGUUUUCAACAAAAUCCAGCAUCAAGUGCCUGUUGAAAUACAACUGUGUUUGAUGUUGAGAUUAGAGAGUUUACUGUGCGUGUGCGUGUCUCUAAUACUCGUUCCAUAUUUCCGUAAUUCACAUAUACUGUGUAUACAAACUGUGUAUCCCUGAACACUCAGCUACAUGUCCAUGUGAGGUUCCUCCAGGUUCUCCAGUUUCCUCCUCCAUGUCGGUAUGUGGAUUGGCUCUAAUUUGCCCCUGUGUGUGUGUGUGUGUGUGUGUGUGUGUGUGUGUGUGUGUGUGUGUGUGUGUGUGUCUGGUGCCCUGUGAUGGACUGAUGUCCCAUCUCACCCAGUGUUCCCAGGACAGUCUCUGGAUCGACCCUGCGCAGGGUAAAAGUCUCACUGAAGGUGAAUGAGUGUAUUGCGUGUACAUUACCUGCACUUUAUCUGUGAUACUGGAACAGAAUUUCGCUGCCAUGUGCUCCAUGUAAUGUAUCUACGGUCUUAUCUAGGGAUGUGUAGAGCAGGAUGUGUGAGGUUUAGUCAGUAAUUUUUCUGGAAGUUAGCUAUAGAAGGCUGCAUUGAAACAGUAUAAAUAAACUCCGCCCGUUUAUCACUGUUCCCUACGAACUCUGCUCCUGGACACCUGAAUGCUAGCGCGAAGGGGCGGAGCUUUCAGAAUUAACAGGAAAGCAGAGAUGAACCAUUUUAUUGUGUAACAUCCAUGUAACCACGCUGCUGGGGAAAAAAACAAACGAAUUUGUAAUGGUUUUAAUGGGAAUUGUAUUGGUUUGAAUAGAAGCUGUAAUGUAACUGGUAAUUUGUUGCUUUCUAUUGGUGGCAUGUUAUGUCUAGUGGAUCCCAUUAAGGACCGACAUCCUUAACAUG